rnacentral:tRNA from 3 species
UAAAACAUAGCUAAUAGAUAGCAUUUCAUUUACACUGAAAAGGAUUAUCGUGCAAAUCGGUUUGUUUUAA